GAUGAACGCUGGCGGCGUGCCUAAUACAUGCAAGUCGAGCGAACGGACGAGAAGCUUGCUUCUCUGAUGUUAGCGGCGGACGGGUGAGUAACACGUGGAUAACCUACCUAUAAGACUGGGAUAACUUCGGGAAACCGGAGCUAAUACCGGAUGAUAUUUUGAACCGCAUGGUUCAAAAGUGAAAGACGGUCUUGCUGUCACUUAUAGAUGGAUCCGCGCUGCAUUAGCUAGUUGGUAAGGUAACGGCUUACCAAGGCAACGAUGCAUAGCCGACCUGAGAGGGUGAUCGGCCACACUGGAACUGAGACACGGUCCAGACUCCUACGGGAGGCAGCAGUAGUGAAUCUUCCGCAAUGGGCGAAAGCCUGACGGAGCAACGCCGCGUGAGUGAUGUAGGUCUUCGGAUCGUAAAACUCUGUUAUUAGGGAAGAACAUAUGUGUAAGUAACUGUGCACAUCUUGACGGUACCUAAUCAGAAAGCCACGGCUAACUACGUG
rnacentral:rRNA from 1 species